CCAAAGGCCCUUUUCAGGGCCGCCCACAGCUUCCAUAAAAGAGCU
rfam:Loxodonta africana unplaced genomic scaffold scaffold_44, whole genome shotgun sequence.